rnacentral:rRNA from 1 species
UCUUGGUCAUUUAGAGGAAGUAAAAGUCGUAACAAGGUUUCCGUAGGUGACCUGCGGAAGGUCAUUAUUGAAAUAAACCUGAUAGGUUGUUGCUGGCUUCCUAGCAUGUGCACACCUUGUCAUCUUUAUAUCUCCACCUGUGCAUCUUUUGUAGACCUUUCAGGUCUAUGUUGCUUCAUUUACCCCAAUGUAUGUUAAUAGAAUGUUGUGACUAUAUAAAAUCUAUACAACUUUCAGCAACGGAUCUCUUGGCUCUCGCAUCGAUGAAGAACGCAGCGAAAUGCGAUAAGUAAUGUGAAUUGCAGAAUUCAGUGAAUCAUCGAAUCUUUGAACGCACCUUGCGCUUCUUGGUAUUCCGAGGAGCAUGCCUGUUUGAGUGUCAUUAAUAUAUCAAUCCUCUCUUUUUGAGUGGUUUGGAUGUGGGGGUUUUGCUGGCCUCUGAAAAGGGGUUCAGCUCCUCUGAAAAGCAUUAGCGGAGCAACUCGGUUCAUUAGUGUGAUAACUAUCUAUGCUAUUGAAUGUGUGUGGUUCAGCUUUCUAACUGUCCUUGGACAACUUUAUCAUUUAUGGACCUCAAAUCAGGUAGGACUACCCGCUGAACUUAAGCAUAUCAAUAAGCGGAGGAA